ensembl:rRNA 5S_rRNA 5S ribosomal RNA
ACUUGCAGCCAUACCACCCUGAGCGUGGCUGAUCUCGUCUGAUCUCGGACGCUAAGCAGGGUCGGGCCUGGUUUGUACUUGGAUGGAAGACCGCCUGGGAAUACCAAGUGCUGUAAGCU